rnacentral:lncRNA from 1 species
UUGGGAAUAUCAGAUGGAAGGGUCUUUGAGGAAGGAUGACUUCCUCUGGAGUACGGAGGAGCAGGUCAAAGAAUUUAGGCAUAUAUCACUGGGGUCCAGGGAUUUGCAGGCAAGGUGCCUGAGGACUCGUGGGUAGCCAGCAUCACUGCAGCCUUCAGAAAGGGUGAGAAGGAGGGCCUGCGCAACUGUAGGCUGUUCAGGAUCACCUCCCUCCCUGGCACUGAAAUGGGACAGCUUGUUCUGGAUGUCAUCUCUAAGGAGCGGUCAUGGUGGAUUCAGCAAGAGGAAGUGAUGAUGGACUGACCUGGUAGCUUUCUGUGUUGUGACUGUCUGGUUGGAUGAGAGAAGGGCAGUGGAUGUUGUGGGGUGGAAUAUCACUCCUGUCAGUAAAUAUCUAAGUGUGGAGUUGAUGGGAGUGGGCUUGUGCAGGCACAGAUGGA